CUGGCGGCUGAAGAGGGUUAGGGAGGCUAGGGUUUUCUGACAUUGUUUAAGUUUUUGGGCUUAUCUGACCGCCUAGGGUUUUAUUAUUUUGGGUUUGGGCUAUUUGGGCCUAUUGUAAGUGGACUGGGAAUGUUAAUUUAUUUAUUUUUUGGUUUUUUUUGUUGGGCCCGGGCAAAAACGGCCUAUUACAAUGGUAGCUGUCUUGUUUUCUCAAUGAAAGCAUUUUCUGAAAAUAACAAUAAACUCAUUAUGUUGCACUAGAUGUAGUAAAUUAGCCAUAAAUUAUUAUAAUAUUUUGAAUGUCUGAAUGAAUAAAAUAUAUUAGUAUAAGAUGGAACAUUUUUA
rnacentral:lncRNA from 1 species